rnacentral:lncRNA from 1 species
GGGGUUUUGCUCUUUAUUCUGUUUAUAUAAUGUGGGUAUAGUGUAAAAGAACUCUUCUCUUUUACUGUAUUAUUUGUAGUAUUAUACAGAUUCUUUGAAUUAAUAAAAUAAAACAAAGGCCAUGUGGACGCAAAUAACCCUGGCUAAGCCAUGAUUUUACACACAUCAACGCAUAGGUGGCAGUAUACACCGCUGUAACUCAGCAUUUAACCAGCAGAAGAAGAAACCGCAUGUUAAUUAUGAGUACACAAACAAAGCCGCAUUUACCUACAAAUAUUACUCCGAAAGACUCUAAAAAAAUGGAGGUUUGGCAAAAACCGCAAAGACGAAAAAAUGGAGCGCAAGGGUUCGAGUAAAAGCAAGAUGGAGGAGAUGACGGCCAGCGAGGAGGAGAUGCAAAGAAUGAGACUGGAACAGGAGAGGAUUCAGGCAAAGACGCGCGAGCUGCGGGAGCGUCAGGCCAAAGAGCGCGAGUAUGCAGAGAUCCAGGACUUCAGCCGGCCGCUGAGCUCAGACGAGGAGCACACCUACGCCGGCAUCGGCUCUCUGGACUCGUCUCUGGACAGCAGUCUAGAUCUGAGCCUCACGCCAGGACAGGAGCGUCCGUUGGGCCCUAGAGAGCCACCGCUGGCCCUUGAGACCCUGUACGCCCAGGUCAACAAGCCCCGCAGCAACCGGACGGCCCCUGCAGACAGUCUGACUCCCCUCUGGCUUGUCCCCCUGUUUGAUUUUGGCCCUCAUUGUGUCCUGCUGGCAUCCUUCAGUCUGGCUGCUUUGCCAGCACUUUGCUGCUGGCAGGUGUGCGGUGUGAAGGUGAACUCAGACUCUGAGCUGGACAGAGGAGUGAGACGCUGCUCUUCACAGCCUGGAUGAAGACGGACAGAACUUGGCAAGAAUGGAGACGCUUCUCAUGCGAAAUAUAGACACGUAUGCCAACACUCUCCACUGUCAGUCCAAGUGCACACAUGAAGAUAUGCGCACAGACACAUGCAUGAUGUUUUAUGGAGUCUUUCCAUAGACAUGUUGAUGCUUCUUCUGGACAGACUGUAUAUUCUCUCCCCCUGCCCCAACUCUACCCCUAAACCCACCCAAGGAGGAAGCAAUUUGCAGUUUUACAUUUCCAAAAUACUUCAUUCUGUUUGGUUUAUAAGCUGUCUUCAUCACGGGCACCAGAAAUGUCCCCAUAAGGUCAGAAUUACGUGUAUUGUAUACUUGCGGGGACAUUUGGUCCCCACAACGUGAUGAAUACCAAGACCACACAAACACACACACAAACACAGUUACACACAAACAAACAUGCAUACACACAUGCACAAACUCGCACGCAAACACAUACACUUACAUAGACACACACACACACAAACAUACCCACGCACUUGUACACACAAACACAUGCACAGACACGUACAUAUAUACAUCUACUGUACACACAUCUACAUUAAUACACACACACACACCCAAAACACACAGACACUAACACAAAAACACACAUAAACACAUGCACUUACACAUAUACACAUGCACACACAAAUUCACAUUUACCCACAAGCAAAUAUACAUACCCACAUACACAAAUGUGCACAAGCACACACAUGUGCGCACAAACACGUAUAUACACACACUUACACACAUACAUGUACACAUAUGCAUGCAAACAUACAUACACAUGCACACAUCCACAUUAAUUCACUGACACACACACACACACACACAAACACACUCACACACACAUACACACACACACACACAUAUGCACUGGUGCAAACACACAGGUGGGACAGGAGGCUUGAACACUAUUCUUCCCAUUAGUAUUAGACUGAGUUACACAAGCUACAGCUGCCUUACAGAUGGAUGAGUUGGACAUGGAUGUUUUUGUAUCUACAUAAUCUAAUUCAGACGACAUCGGAGGUCCACCAUAAACAAAUGGCCGUAAGUGCCUGCUGCAGAUUUCAAAGGGAAAGGCUCAUGCUCCAUUGAUUGAUUUUACCUUAAACAAGAUCUGAGGGAAAUUACCGCCACUGGAGUUUCCAAUUUCUUCAUUUGAGCUAAUUCAACUCUAGAAGGCAUUGAGAGGUCAGAGUAACUCCAAAUGUUUUAUUUGUCUUUCCUUUGAAGAUGUUUAAUAGAAAAGUUGUAUCAUUAAUAACUGUAGACUAAUGCAUUUUUAAACCAAUAACUAUAACCAAUAAAAUUACUUAAAUUUGAUAAUGCAAUACAAUAAAAUAAUUACAUUUAAUCAAAAUAAGAGUACUAAUGCUAACAACAACAUCAACA